rnacentral:rRNA from 1 species
AGUGAACGCUGGCGGCAGGCCUAACACAUGCAAGUCGAGCGGCAGCGCGGGGGCAACCCUGGCGGCGAGCGGCGGACGGGUGAGGAAUUCGUCGGAAUCUGCCUGUUUGUGUGGGAUAACGUAGGGAAACUUACGCUAAUACCGCAUACGUCCUACGGGAGAAAGUGGGGGACGGCAAGGCCUCACGCAGAAAGAUGAGCCGACGACCGAUUAGCUAGUUGGUGGGGUAAAGGCCCACCAAGGCGACGAUCGGUAGCUGGUCUGAGAGGAUGAUCAGCCACACUGGGACUGAGACACGGCCCAGACUCCUACGGGAGGCAGCAGUGGGGAAUAUUGGACAAUGGGCGCAAGCCUGAUCCAGCCAUGCCGCGUGUGUGAAGAAGGCCUUCGGGUUGUAAAGCACUUUUGUCCGGAAAGAAAUCCCUGGAGCUAAUACCUUCGGGGGAUGACGGUACCGGAAGAAUAAGCACCGGCUAACUUCGUG